rnacentral:rRNA from 1 species
CCUACGGGAGGCAGCAGUAGGGAAUUUUUCACAAUGGGCGAAAGCCUGAUGGAGCAACGCCGCGUGCAGGAUGAAGGCCUUCGGGUUGUAAACUGCUUUUAUAAGCGAGAAAUAUGAUGGUAACUUAUGAAUAAGGAUCGGCUAACUACGUGCCAGCAGCCGCGGUCAUACGUAGGAUCCGAGCAUUAUCCGGAGUGACUGGGUGUAAAGAGUUGCGUAGGUGGCAUAAUAAGUAGCUAGUGAAAACUGGUGGCUCAACCAUUCAGACUAUUAGCUAAACUGUUAAGCUCGAGACCGUUAGGGGUAACUGGAAUUUCUAGUGUAGGAGUGAAAUCCGUAGAUAUUAGAAGGAACACCAAUAGCGUAGGCAGGUUGCUGGGACGGUUCUGACACUAAGGCACGAAAGCGUAGGGAGCAAACGGGAUUAGAUACCCCUGUAGUC